UACACAAUAAAUUCUAGGACAGCCUGAGC
rnacentral:piRNA from 1 species